rnacentral:rRNA from 1 species
AUGCACGCGACAAAUGUGCCAAAUGAUGAUUACAUGUAUGCAUCACAAGAAUAUGAAACCCGAUAUGAUGAUGACAAUCUUGAUGUGGACGAUGAGGGCUUUGUUGUCAUGGGAAGAAGUGGAAAUUAUACCACCGCGGAGUAUGUGUUGAUAUGCACCGCUUGGAAGAAAAUCUCUCACGAUGCAAGCGUUGGAAGUGACCAAAUGGUGAACACCUAUUGGCAACGCAUCAAGGAGUACUUUGAUGAGCGCAACACAAGUGGUCACUUCCGUUCGAGCGACUCCCUACGCCAACGUUGGCCCACCAUCAACGCCGAAUGCCAAAAGUGGGCCGGUUGCUUGUCAAACGUUGCUCGGAUGAACCCAAGUGGUUGCGGUGAUAGUGACUUGGUAAAUAUUUCCUCUUCGUGCGUGCUUUGUCAAAUAUUUCCUCUUUGUUCCACA